rnacentral:rRNA from 1 species
GGGAUAUUGCACAAUGGGGGGAACCCUGAUGCAGCGACGCCGCGUGGGCGAAGUAGCGCUUCGGCGCGUGAAGCCCUUUCGGCAGGAGGGAAAGAGACGGUACCUGCAGAAGAAGCACCGGCUAAAUACGUGCCAGCAGCCGCGGUAAUACGUAUGGUGCAAGCGUUGUCCGGAUUUACUGGGUGUAAAGGGAGCGCAGACGGCGGCGCAAGCCGGAUGUGAAAUCCCGGGGCCCAACCCCGGGGCUGCAUCCGGGACUGCGUGGCUAGAGUACCGGAGGGGCAGGCGGAAUUCCUAGUGUAGCGGUGAAAUGCGUAGAUAUUAGGAGGAACACCGGCGGCGAAGGCGGCCUGCUGGACGGCGACUGACGUUGAGGCUCGAGAGCGUGGGGAGCAAACA